CUCCGGGCCCGGCUCCCCAGCCGGGACAGCAGCUGGAGAGGGAAGGCCUGGACAGGCUACAUCGGCCACCGCAAUCCCCGCGUCCGCUUCCCGGGGUGAAGUGAGGAGGGUCCCCACGGCGCCCGGCGGCGUGUCUGGACGGUGCCGGGGAUUCACUUAAAGAGCCCACACACCGCAGGCAGCCGGAGAAGGUCGUGGGAAGCCCCGAAAGCGCCCGCCCGCAGCAGCGGGGAGAGCGGCUCUGCAGUCCGACCAUGCCUCUCUGCAG